rnacentral:tmRNA from 1 species
GGGGGCGAACCGGAUUCGACGAAGACAACAGGGCCACGGUCGCACGCCGGGUGCUGUCGACCCGCAAACCAGGCAGACUGCGAAAUUUACCCGCAGACAAUAACGGUUACGCUCUGGCGGCCUAAGGGCCGCUAGCGUCCCGCCGCUGUUCGCCCAUGACAGCGGGCCGGGGCGUCAUUUAGUGGGCUAGGGAACCGCAGUUCACCGGCUGAGCGGACUCCCGAAAUUUCAGCCGGCUGUGCGUCAGGAAAGCCCGUCCGUGGGCGCUCCGGACGCGAGCUAGAAAUCGCGGAAUAAGCGUGUAGUGGCCGUCGCCGGAAGGCCUUCGGACGGGGGUUCAAUUCCCCCCGCCUCCACCA